UGACUGGACCACAACGUCAGGGAGGAGGGGAGAGAACUGUGGAUCCUCUCUCCAGUGGCCCUUCCCUCUGUCCACGAGGUCUUGCUUUCUGCCAUGGUGUCCAUCUGGGCACCAGAACAGAAGUCCUGGUGCCCCCUGUGGAAGCAUCUCGAGGACUGCUGGGCCAGAAGCGGGCCGAACAGCGCUGGACAUAAAAGAUCUGGGUCUAACUCCUGUCUCUGUGCACCUGCUGGGUGCUAACUUUGGGCAAAUGGACGUCACCUCUAGGUUUUCAACUCUGCAAAAUGGAAGUAAUGCUGAUUACAUGUCCUAGAUACACUUUCAGGACUAAGUGAGAACAGGUGAUACUUGUGUAUAAAGAAGACUGAGAACUGCAGAAUUACCUUGUGGAGAUUUCUGUGCCUGUAAACAAGUGAUUCUCAGUCCAGGCUGCACUUGGAAUCAUGAGAGGAACUUGAAAUAAUGCCACACGCCGUGUCCACUCCAGGCCGGUAAACUCACUAUGUGAGCUUUGAUAGUUUUUAAAGCUCUCCAGGGCCACAUAAACAUUGCCUGGCUGGAUUUUGCAUAUCUGACUGCCCCUUCUCAAGUCUUUUUGAGUCACACAGCUUCCUUGUACUGGGUCUGGGGUAGGAGUUGAACAGCAUAAUCAAAUCUUUGUUCUCUGACCAUUACUAGGUGCCUGAGGGUUAUGGCUCAGGCCAGCCAAGAGGUUUCUAGACCCCCAAGACUGCCACUUCUAUAUAACUUGAAAAGCGGCCAUGAAAGAGCUCAUGUAGCUCUCUCUCCAUAUGUCUGAUGCAAGUUUGUGCUUGAUGCUCGCCUUUUUGUUCCAUAAAUGCGUUCAGACUGAGGGGGAAAUGUCACCUGAGUGUAUAAAUAGGUGUAUCUCUGCCAGCAUCUGAUGGAAGGCCAAUCCCUUCAGAAUCUUUACUCUAUGAUCCUGGAAAGGAAGGAGCCAGAGGGACUUAAGAGGCCAUGCAGACCUGCUCUCUCCCUUGCCCCAAGAUAUAGGUUAGGAUGCUGAGGCCCAACGAGGGAAAGCAUUUUCCCAAAGUUAGAGGUUGAGCCCCUGGUUGAGCUGUCUUGUGGACCUAGGUCUUUUUGAACUAAAACCAGUUUGUACUUACAGCAGAAACUACUAACUGUUUCCCAAUUUCCAUCCUCCACUUCCCUCUUAAUAACAGAAACUCCAAUUUGUGAUUAGGCAUAGAGCUGUCUGGAAAAAAAGACUUCAUUUCCAGUCUUCUUUGCAGUAGAGGUGGCCAUGAGACAAAGUUCUGGCCAAUGACAUAUAAGUGGUAGUGUCCUGUGUGACUUCUGGAAACAUUCUUUUGUCCUUCCUCCAUCCUGCUGGCUGGAAUGUGGAGGUAAUAGCUGGAGCUUGAGCAGCUGUCAUGGAUUAUGAGGUGGAAGCCCUGCUGAGGACGGUGGAGCAUCCAGCAGGCUAGCCCACACUUGUGGAAGAGACCACAAAUAAUGAGUGGAAACAUGCCGGUAAUUUUUCUUGCCUCAGCUUGGGACAUGUCUGCUAACAUCCCAUUGGCCAAAACAAAUCUCAGGGUAGGAGCCAAAGACAGAGUGGGACAGCGCUUCACUGUUACACGGCAAAGCUCCAGAACCCAGCCUGAGCUUCCUGGAAUGUUGGCAUCCAUUGUGAGGGCCGAUCCCACCGACAUCGCUGAGAGGUACCGCCUAGAUGCUGAAGGACAGAUGGUGCCAGACUCUGACCUGGCCCGAAAACCUGACUGAGUGUCUUCAGUGGAAAACGGGGUGUCUCUGAAGCCUCUGUGCCUUUCGCUGCCUUUGAACUCUUUCACAGCUGUCUAAGUUGUAGGUAACGGGAGCAAUGCAAAAGGUUCUUGUCCAGGGAUAGACAAAUGAUAUUUUCCCCUCCGUGGAAGUACAACUGGUUUACCACACCCCUUGUGGAAUAAGCCAGUUGUGUGUCUUUUUGUGAUUUCACUGCAGCAUUUCUUCUUGUUUGCGUAUAUGUG